AGUGUAGGCGGUCAAGCAAGUCAGGGGUGAAAGGCAUCGGCUCAACCGAUGUAAGCCUUUGAAACUGUUUGACUUGAGUGCAGGAGAGGUAAGUGGAAUUCCUAGUGUAGCGGUGAAAUGCGUAGAUAUUAGGAGGAACACCAGUGGCGAAGGCGACUUACUGGACUGUAACUGACGCUGAGGCUCGAAAGCGUGGGGAGCGAACA
rnacentral:rRNA from 1 species